UUAAGCGACUAAGCGUACACGGUGGAUGCCCUGGCAGUCAGAGGCGAUGAAGGACGUGCUAAUCUGCGAUAAGCGUCGGUAAGGUGAUAUGAACCGUUAUAACCGGCGAUUUCCGAAUGGGGAAACCCAGUGUGUUUCGACACACUAUCAUUAACUGAAUCCAUAGGUUAAUGAGGCGAACCGGGGGAACUGAAACAUCUAAGUACCCCGAGGAAAAGAAAUCAACCGAGAUUCCCCCAGUAGCGGCGAGCGAACGGGGAGCAGCCCAGAGCCUGAAUCAGUGUGUGUGUUAGUGGAAGCGUCUGGAAAGGCGCGCGAUACAGGGUGACAGCCCCGUACACAAAAAUGCACAUGCUGUGAGCUCGAUGAGUAGGGCGGGACACGUGGUAUCCUGUCUGAAUAUGGGGGGACCAUCCUCCAAGGCUAAAUACUCCUGACUGACCGAUAGUGAACCAGUACCGUGAGGGAAAGGCGAAAAGAACCCCGGCGAGGGGAGUGAAAAAGAACCUGAAACCGUGUACGUACAAGCAGUGGGAGCACGCUUAGGCGUGUGACUGCGUACCUUUUGUAUAAUGGGUCAGCGACUUAUAUUCUGUAGCAAGGUUAACCGAAUAGGGGAGCCGAAGGGAAACCGAGUCUUAACUGGGCGUUAAGUUGCAGGGUAUAGACCCGAAACCCGGUGAUCUAGCCAUGGGCAGGUUGAAGGUUGGGUAACACUAACUGGAGGACCGAACCGACUAAUGUUGAAAAAUUAGCGGAUGACUUGUGGCUGGGGGUGAAAGGCCAAUCAAACCGGGAGAUAGCUGGUUCUCCCCGAAAGCUAUUUAGGUAGCGCCUCGUGAAUUCAUCUCCGGGGGUAGAGCACUGUUUCGGCAAGGGGGUCAUCCCGACUUACCAACCCGAUGCAAACUGCGAAUACCGGAGAAUGUUAUCACGGGAGACACACGGCGGGUGCUAACGUCCGUCGUGAAGAGGGAAACAACCCAGACCGCCAGCUAAGGUCCCAAAGUCAUGGUUAAGUGGGAAACGAUGUGGGAAGGCCCAGACAGCCAGGAUGUUGGCUUAGAAGCAGCCAUCAUUUAAAGAAAGCGUAAUAGCUCACUGGUCGAGUCGGCCUGCGCGGAAGAUGUAACGGGGCUAAACCAUGCACCGAAGCUGCGGCAGCGACGCUGAUGCGUUGUUGGGUAGGGGAGCGUUCUGUAAGCCUGCGAAGGUGUGCUGUGAGGCAUGCUGGAGGUAUCAGAAGUGCGAAUGCUGACAUAAGUAACGAUAAAGCGGGUGAAAAGCCCGCUCGCCGGAAGACCAAGGGUUCCUGUCCAACGUUAAUCGGGGCAGGGUGAGUCGACCCCUAAGGCGAGGCCGAAAGGCGUAGUCGAUGGGAAACAGGUUAAUAUUCCUGUACUUGGUGUUACUGCGAAGGGGGGACGGAGAAGGCUAUGUUGGCCGGGCGACGGUUGUCCCGGUUUAAGCGUGUAGGCUGGUUUUCCAGGCAAAUCCGGAAAAUCAAGGCUGAGGCGUGAUGACGAGGCACUACGGUGCUGAAGCAACAAAUGCCCUGCUUCCAGGAAAAGCCUCUAAGCAUCAGGUAACAUCAAAUCGUACCCCAAACCGACACAGGUGGUCAGGUAGAGAAUACCAAGGCGCUUGAGAGAACUCGGGUGAAGGAACUAGGCAAAAUGGUGCCGUAACUUCGGGAGAAGGCACGCUGAUAUGUAGGUGAGGUCCCUCGCGGAUGGAGCUGAAAUCAGUCGAAGAUACCAGCUGGCUGCAACUGUUUAUUAAAAACACAGCACUGUGCAAACACGAAAGUGGACGUAUACGGUGUGACGCCUGCCCGGUGCCGGAAGGUUAAUUGAUGGGGUCAGCGCAAGCGAAGCUCUUGAUCGAAGCCCCGGUAAACGGCGGCCGUAACUAUAACGGUCCUAAGGUAGCGAAAUUCCUUGUCGGGUAAGUUCCGACCUGCACGAAUGGCGUAAUGAUGGCCAGGCUGUCUCCACCCGAGACUCAGUGAAAUUGAACUCGCUGUGAAGAUGCAGUGUACCCGCGGCAAGACGGAAAGACCCCGUGAACCUUUACUAUAGCUUGACACUGAACAUUGAGCCUUGAUGUGUAGGAUAGGUGGGAGGCUUUGAAGUGUGGACGCCAGUCUGCAUGGAGCCGACCUUGAAAUACCACCCUUUAAUGUUUGAUGUUCUAACGUUGACCCGUAAUCCGGGUUGCGGACAGUGUCUGGUGGGUAGUUUGACUGGGGCGGUCUCCUCCUAAAGAGUAACGGAGGAGCACGAAGGUUGGCUAAUCCUGGUCGGACAUCAGGAGGUUAGUGCAAUGGCAUAAGCCAGCUUGACUGCGAGCGUGACGGCGCGAGCAGGUGCGAAAGCAGGUCAUAGUGAUCCGGUGGUUCUGAAUGGAAGGGCCAUCGCUCAACGGAUAAAAGGUACUCCGGGGAUAACAGGCUGAUACCGCCCAAGAGUUCAUAUCGACGGCGGUGUUUGGCACCUCGAUGUCGGCUCAUCACAUCCUGGGGCUGAAGUAGGUCCCAAGGGUAUGGCUGUUCGCCAUUUAAAGUGGUACGCGAGCUGGGUUUAGAACGUCGUGAGACAGUUCGGUCCCUAUCUGCCGUGGGCGCUGGAGAACUGAGGGGGGCUGCUCCUAGUACGAGAGGACCGGAGUGGACGCAUCACUGGUGUUCGGGUUGUCAUGCCAAUGGCACUGCCCGGUAGCUAAAUGCGGAAGAGAUAAGUGCUGAAAGCAUCUAAGCACGAAACUUGCCCCGAGAUGAGUUCUCCCUGACCCUUUAAGGGUCCUGAAGGAACGUUGAAGACGACGACGUUGAUAGGCCGGGUGUGUAAGCGCAGCGAUGCGUUGAGCUAACCGGUACUAAUGAACCGUGAGGCUUAACCUU
rnacentral:rRNA from 1 species